rnacentral:sRNA from 1 species
GCUUCCCACCAGCUCCAGUCGGAGAUUUGGAGCGCUUGUGUCUGCGGCUCAAUCCCGUGAGGUGCCGCGCAACUCAGCGGCGCAUUCUCUUUGGAGCCGAGGAACCACCAUACUUUCCAUUGCUUACUUCCGUUGAACCCCAGGCGCUGCCAUGGCAAGCCGGAAAUAGGGAUAAAGCAAUUUAGCCAGAAGAGGGCGGAAGUGGCUACUCAGGGCGCCGCCAUGACGAGCCGGGCCGGAAGAAGACGCAGGCGGCCCUAGAGGUCACCGCUCGCUACUGUGGCCGGGAGCUGGAGCAGUAUGGCCAGUGUGUGGCGGCCAAGCCGGAAUCCUGGCAGCGGGACUGUCACUACCUUAAGAUGAGCAUUGCCCAAUGCACAUCCUCCCACCCAAUCAUCCGCCAGAUCCGCCAGGCCUGUGCUCAGCCUUUUGAGGCCUUCGAGGAGUGUCUUCGACAGAACGAGGCAGCUGUGGGCAACUGUGCGGAGCAUAUGCGCCGCUUCCUGCAGUGCGCUGAGCAAGUGCAGCCGCCACGCUCACCUGCAACUGUGGAG